rnacentral:misc_RNA from 1 species
GUAGGUGAACCUGCGGAAGGAUCAUUAUCGAGACAAGGGGCUCCCGGCCCCGAACCUCCCACCCGUGUUUACCAACCUUUUGUUGCUUUGGUGGGCCUGCGUCCGGGUUGAAAGCCCGGCCGCUGCUGCGUGCCCGCCAGAAGCCUCCCUGAACUCAUUUACCGGUUAGAGUCUGAGUGACCGAACAAUAAUCAAAACUUUCAACAACGGAUCUCUUGGUUCUG